rnacentral:misc_RNA from 1 species
CACAAAUAAGAGGUGAUGGUCAUUUACCAAAUACUACAGGUGGGUACCUUACAAUACCAUGUUCUAAGAUCAUGCUGCCAACAUAAUUCCAUUACUUAAAAUUUCAGAAUUAUUGUUUCUGAGGAUGAAUAACACCAAGCAGUUCCAUACAUUGCAAAAUAUAUUACAAAUUGACUUUGACAACGUGUUGCUCUACUGGUAGCAUUACAUCUAAAUCAAUCUUUUUUCCGUCUUCUGAUAAAGGUGUAUCGCCGUUUUAUCACCUACCAACGCUGAAAUAGUAUCAUGGUUUGUCCCGAGCUGUUGAUAGAAUAGCAGAUAUUCCUCAUUGCUUGGUUGAAAGUUGUUGCAAGCUCAUGUUAUCAUGCGAGGCAAAAUCAACACAAAUCAGCCUCAACAAUUUUUUGCCUAUUGUUUAAUACGAGCAAACUUUGGAAGUAGAAAAAGCAGGAUUUUCAUUUGCAUGGUAAUAUUACAUGUUGGCUUUCCUUUCCCACCUUUCCUUUGUGUCAAGCCCCCAAUACAAUUUCUGGCGCUUUUUCGGUGCUUGAUGUAUUGCUGAAUUGUCUUGCACUGCUGAGCAAUUAACACUGUUGUGCUGUUUUGUGAAGUUGGAGACGCUUGAGUCUUCAAUUAUUCUACAUGUAUCUUCAUCAUCGCCAUGUUUGAAGUAUUUACCAUAAGAUCUGCUAGUGCCACGGCCAUCUGAAAUCCUUAUGAAGAUAUUAGAUAAUCAAAUAUGCAAUGCAUAAAACUUAAUUGAGAAAAAUACCUUCUGAUUUCUUUUGAAGCUUUGAUUUUAUCUUCAAGCGCCUCUUGUGUAGCUCCUAUAAAAUGGACGAACUCAAAAACACAAUUAUUGGAGAGGAAAGCAUUUACACAAAAUUGAUGUGUAAGAGAACUGCUACACUUGUAUGGGAGCAGCAAAAUAUUUGCACAUGCAGAGAUUCAUCCAUGGAAAAAAUGGUCUAAUGUCAACCAUAGACAACCAAAAAUUCAAAAUGAUCCACCACUUUUAGCAUGAUAACUUUGAGAAUAUACCCUAAUUUUACUCUAUUUUUCACAAUUUCAUUAGGAAUAACUCACAGCAACACUUAUUACUCAAACAAGUAGCCAAUGGAAGUCCUACACUCCUACUCUAUGGUGGUAGCCUGAGAUUAUUGUUUAUACAUAUUUGAAGCUUAGAACCCAGAAAACUCCAAAAUUGGGUGGCAAAAAAUAACCUAACCAGCACCAGCUCAAUACUAUGAAGAAGGUGAUAGUAAUGGCAGCUAUUAGUUCAUUAUUCUAUUGAAUUUCGUUUCAUACACUCCAUUACAUCCUACAAAACAUGAUCCUAUAACUUUAGGGGAGAAAAAAAGGCAUACAUCUUAGCCAUUACACUCUAUUGAGGACUUAAAAAUUAUGCAUUUGGUUAAUUCCCAGAUCUAUCGCAGCUUUCCAAUACGAAAUCUAUUAUUACUACUAACCCAAUUGACUGCUACAGAACCCCGUAUAGCUUAUUUCGUGAUUUUCACAGAAUAAUGAUUACCAAAAUUAAAGAAAUACGUUAAAAAUUAGAAAAUGGGUUCUCAUACUAUCAAAUAAUUAUUGAAAUUCGCAUUUGUAUACUUGUUGUAUAUGCAAAAGAUGUGAGGGGUAGUCCAAUCAUACUUGGAGCUUGAAGACCUGAUCUUGGGAAACACGGGUGGGCUUGAAACCGGGUUGCAAAGAUGGUGUCGAUGCUAUUGCCGCUUCUCUUCUCUCAUCUUCUCCUUCUAUUUCUUCUUCUUCUUCGUCUUCGCGACUCAUAUUGUUGAUUUUUCACCGCUUUUCUCUCCUUGACCUCUGUGUGCAACGAGAAUGCUCGCUUUGCCGCGGAUUCCAGGAGGCUUGAAUAUGAUCCCCAAUUUUUCACGGAAUAAAGACGCUGCUUUACAUAGCUUAGGGCACAAUCCAGUCGAG